rnacentral:misc_RNA from 1 species
GAAAUGCGAUAAGUAAUGUGAAUUGCAGAAUUCAGUGACUCAUCGAAUCUUUGAACGCACAUUGCGCCCGCCAGUAUUCUGGCGGGCAUGCCUGUCCGAGCGUCAUUUCAACCAUCAAGCCCCCGGGCUUGUGUUGGGGACCUGCGGCUGCCCGCAGGCCCUGAAAACCAGUGGCGGGCUCGCUGUCACACCGAGCGUAGUAGCAAUCACCUCGCUCAGGGCGUGCUGCGGGUUCCGGCCGUUAAACAGCCUUACAAAACCCAAGGUUGACCUCGGAUCAGGUAGGAAGACCCGCUGAACUUAAGC